rnacentral:rRNA from 1 species
CCGCGGUAAAACCAGCUCCCCGAGGGGUUCCCACGCAUACUGGGCCUAAAGCGUCCGUAGCCGGCCCUGUAAGUCUGCAGUUAAAUCCGCCUGUAGACAGGCGGGUUGCUGCAGAUACUGCAGGGCUAGGGAGCGGGAGGAGCCGGGGGUAUUCCCGGGGGAGCGGWAAAAUGCKUAGAUCCCGGGAGGACCACCAGUGGCGAAGGCGCCCRGCUUGAACGCGUCCGACGGUGAGGGACGAAAGCUGGGGGAGCAAACCGGAUUAGAUACCCGGGUAGUCCCAGCCGUAAACGAUGCCGGCUAGGUGCUGGCCAAGGUUUCGGCCUUGGCCAGUGUCGAAGCGAAGGCAUUAAGCCGGCCGCCUGAGGAGUACGGCCGCAAGGCUGAAACUUGAAGGAAUUGACGGGGGGGCACCACAAGGGGUGAAUGCCUGCGGCUUAAUUGGACUCAACGCCGGGAAUCUUACCGGGGGCGACAGCAGGAUGAAGGUCAGGCUGAAGACCUUACCAGACGCGCCGAGGGGUGGUGCAUGGCCGUCGCCAGCUCGUGCCGUGAGGUGUCCUGUUAAGUCAGGCAACGAGCGAGACCCCCGCCCCUAGUUGCCAGCGGCCUCCUUCGGGAGGGACCGGGCAAACUAGGGGGACCGCCUCCGAAGAGGAGGAGGAAGGUGGGGGCUACGGCAGGUCAGUAUGCCCCUAAUCCCCCGGGCCGCACGCGGGCU